rnacentral:precursor_RNA from 15 species
GGAAAAGCAGAAAUCUGUAGAUGGCGGGGCAAGCCCUUUUAUUAUUUGUAGAAGUGAUCUUAUUGAUCUAGCAAUAAUGAAGGGCUUGCUUCUUCAUCUCAUAGCACAACAGCCUUCAG